UACAGAGGGGGCAAGCGUUGUUCGGAAUUACUGGGCGUAAAGGGCGCGUAGGCGGCCUGCUAAGUCGAACGUGAAAUCCCCGAGCUCAACUCGGGAACUGCGUCCGAUACUGGUUGGCUUGAAUCCGGGAGAGGGAUGCGGAAUUCCAGGUGUAGCGGUGAAAUGCGUAGAUAUCUGGAGGAACACCGGUGGCGAAGGCGGCAUCCUGGACCGGCAUUGACGCUGAGGAGCGAAAGCCAGGGGAGCAAACGGG
rnacentral:rRNA from 1 species